GGGCAGCGAUGAGGAGAUGGAGAAAGUCAUGCACCACUCUGAUAUAUAAUUGAGGUGAUAAAUCUCUGAUACCCAUAUUAUACAUCUCAGCUU